UACAACUGAGCCCUGAAAGGGGUUUUCUCAAGGGAAUGGGACCCUCAGGCUGAAAAGAGGCUUCGACUCUUGCCCUAGAGCUUCUGUGGAAAUUAAGCAGGUAUGGACCUGGUCAGAGAAAUGUAGAAUGGAGAAUGGUUCACUAGAAGGUGAGUGCUGUUACUUAUGGAGCCAAAGUAAAGCCCCCCACAUACAAGACAAAGGUAUCACUAAGUUUAAAGGAGCCCCAAAAUCUGCAGAAAUACUACAACUACGGGGGAAACUCCCCCCACAAAAAUAGGACUGAGCAUGCACAGUGGUCAUGUAAUGCUUACUUUUUUGACAGGCAACUGUGUGAGAUUGAAUGGAUUGGUUGGAAUCCAGAAAGUAGUAUUCCAUUCUGCUAACUUUUGUUCUAGUUCUGGCUUGCAUUAUUGAUCUUAUACCAGCACCUGAUCAUUUCAAAAAGGCAGGUGUGUGUAUCUUUAUAGCUAUGCUGUAGCUAUUUAGCUAUGUAGAGAAAUUGUACGCCACUCCAUGAUUCUAGGAUGAAGGGCAGUAUAGAAAUUUAACAAACAAAAAUGUAACCUCAGAAGCAGCCUCCAUUGAACUUCAUCAGUUAAGUCUCUUUGAAGCAAAUAUGUAUAGACCAUCGUGGCUGUCUUUGUUUGCAAAGCCACAGCCCAACAGAAAUCAAGAAGCAACUGAUAAAACUAUAAAUGCACCACAGCAUAUUUGCCAAAAACAAAUUGAAUUUGAGCGGGCACACUCUGAGGUCACAGACACAUACUGUUCAGGGUGCAUUUGUGUGAAAAAGAAUCCAAUCAACCUCAGGCCUACUCCUGAUGUGGGGCCAUCCAUCAAAGGAGCUGAGCUUGCUUCACAUAACAAUAAUAGCCACCUCACCCACGUAACAAAUGGGCACACAAAGAAAGUGAUGGGCCUUGAGUUAUGCGGUCUUUAGAACAAAACCAGAAGCUUGGGUUCCAAACAUUGCAGUUUGCUCACAAGAAGAGUUGCCUCCGGCUUGUGGGGCAAAAGGCCAGAACACUAAGAAAUUUACAGUGCAACAAGUGUAAUGUUGCACUGCGUGGUAUUCCUGCUCAGGGUUCCAGACAGGUAGCAAAGCCCUCUUCCAUUGCACUCCAUUUGAUUCCACUUGGGACAGUUUUCCAUCAUCAUGUGUACAGUCAACAUUCCACAGCCACUAAGCAAGCUGUCUUCAUCGGGCUUUUUAAGAGAGCUCCCUCCUUACUUUUUUCUCUCAAUGUUUUCUAACACCUACAUCUUCUGCAUAGGUGGGGCAGUUGUGGAUACAUAAGGAUCCAAACGUCAGUGUCAGAUCUACAUAUUUUGCCAUAGCGUGAGGAAGUCUGCACUCCCACCGUCCACCCCUCCUGCAGGUUUGUGUCUAACCAUCCUUGCUGCCACCACUGCUACCAAGAGAAAGAUGACUACAGUUUCAUGUCCCAUCCUGCCAAUGUGGCAGCUUCUUGCCUUCCUCUUCCUGGGGUGAGCAAGAAGGUAGGGCCAUUCUUAAAAAACAGUCCCUUGGAAGUUGGCACCUCUGCACAUUCACCAAGUCACCAAGUUUAUUCUGCCUUCCAGCAUAAGUUAAGUCAAGACUCAGACUAGUUUUGCUUUACAGACUCCCUCUUUUACACAAAUUAAUUGGUUUGAAUAUGGGUGAAGCAUGCAUGCAAACCUGUUGCCCAUUAGCAAAAAUAAAAAUAGUGUACAAUUUCAGGAGGUGGGAGGAGGCAAAUUUCCAGGAAAAGUAUGACAAUUAUUUCCAGGACAACAGUAAAAAAAAAAAAAAGGAGAAGGUAAAGAAGAACUGCUACAGACACAGCUUCCAGAACAGAUUGGAGGAGGUGCUAUUCCUAUUUUAACAGUGCCCAAAUCUGCUUGAGGCAGGCUGCUUUAUUCUGCCUAGUGGUAGGGUAGAGCUCAGCCACUUGGCUACAUUUGGGCAGCCUGCCUGAGGCAGCAUACUUUGGACAUAAUUAAGAAGCAACACGCUAUCAGUUAUUUCAUUUAAAUAACAACAACAAUCAUAAUAUUUUACUGUGGUAGGGUGUCAUUUCAAUGGUCUUAGCCAAGGCACCAAAAUGUCAGGCCAGUGAGAUCAGAUGCCUGCUCAUUGCUUACAUUUUUUUAGUUAUGUGAAGAAUUGAUUCUAGGAUAGUAUAUCUGAAAUGACUGUCCAGCUACAUUUGAGCGAGUUCUGCGCACUGUCUCACUAGAGUGGUACAUGCCCUGCUUAUCCCCCACUUGGAUUACUGCCAUUCUCGGUAGUAGAACUCAUCCUGUGGAACACCCUCCCAUCGGAUGUCAAGGAGAUGAGUAACUAUAUAAACUUUAGAAGACAUCUGAAGGCAGCCCUAUAUAGGGAAGCUUUUUAAUGUAUAAUGUUUUUAUACAUGUUGGAAGCCACCCAGAGUGGCUGGAGCUACCCAGUCAGAUGGGCAGGGUACAAGUAAUAAUGACAACAUUAUUAUUAUUAUUACUAUUUAAUUUAUUAUAAAUAUUUACAUUUUGCUAGUUAUAGCUGAAAGUGCCUGGUGUUGCUGACAAAUUCUAAGAAACAAAAACAUACUGAGAUUUUAAAAUGGAAAUGUAAUUUGCUAGUUUCAGGGCUGUGUACAGCACCACACAUCUACAUUCCAGGAUCUUGACCUGGGGAAAACCUGACCUGCAUCCAGCCUUGAAUCAAUGUUUAAUUAAGGUUUUUAAAGCCCUAUAAGCUCAGGAGAGGGGAAGCAGGGGAAAGACACUGAUUCUCCUUUUCCUCUCUUCCCAACUGAAUCGCAGGGAGCAGAAGGGUUGGAUCCUACUGGGUGCUGUUUCACCCAUGCAUUCCCUGUAGGAAACAUGCUGGCAAACCAGCAGACCCCUUCAGCCAGUAGGGCUGCACCCGUGGCACACAGUUCCUGCAGUGCUGCUGCAUGGGCUCGACAGGCUUCCUUGGCCUCCACAAUCUGCUGCCCUGCUCCUGCAUAGUUUCCUCCAGUGUGUCCCAUCAUGGUGUGGUUCAGCCCUAGCUGUCCCUGCCACCAACACCUGCAACUCUGUGGCUGCCAUUUAGCAGACUCACCUUUCUGACCAUCCCUCAACUUGCUCCUUCAUCAGCAGUCAUCAUCAAUGGUGGGGUGGGAUGGGGGAAGCACAUAACUGACAGUGAGAGACCAACUGUCUUCUGGCACUGGCUCAGCACAGGAACAGGAGACAGGUCUUCUCUAUUCCUCUCCCCCACCCCAAUCUCCUCUUCCCACCUUGGGACCUCUGCAGCUUCAGCCAUUUCCUUUGGAAUCCUGCUAUGGUCUACUUUCCAAGCACAUUACCUGUGGGUAACAUGCUGGUAAAGCAAACCCCUGCAGCUAGCAGGUGAAGGGUUCAGUUGCACUUAUGGACUGCAUACAUGUGUUCCCCUGCUGGGAACAUGCAUACAAAGUCAAAAUGCAGCACAGGGCUGUUUGAAAGCCCUCUUACAACAGCCAUGGGUUGCCCUUGGUAGAGGCUGCCUGACUCGCCUCCCAGCAACCCACACAUUAACAAACCCAGAUUCCUCCAGGCAGCCCAACCCAAGGUGAUCAGGGGUUGUCUUGAUGUGAUUCAGUCAAAGUCCAGAUCAGAGCAAAUUGGCCUGGCUUUGUUUGGGCUUUGGCAGAAACUGGUGUGCAGCCCUUUUCAUUUCUUGCCAAAUUUGGUUAACAUCAUUUCAGUUUUGACAGGUUCAGCCCACCAUUUUGAUUCAAACUGGAGUCCAAUGGUAUCCAAAUAUAGACCAAAGCCCACUCCUCCAUUUCAGGAACCACUGUCAAAUUGGGCGACAUUAUUUGCAGUGCGGUCCAAAUCAGUGCAGUUUUGAAUAGUUCGGUCUGCUUCAAAAUGACAGCCAACAGUAUCCAAAUAUAAACCAAAAGUCCAUUGCUCCAUCUCAGGAACUGUCAUGCAAACUGAUUUCAUGUCAAAUUUGGUUUAAAAUCUUUUCACUUAGGAAUGGCUUUGCUCACCAUCUUGCUUCAAAAUGGCCUCCAACCAUUUAUAAACAUAGACAAAAACCUGUUCCUCACACUUGGGAACAGUCAUGCCAGGUUGGAAUGAUAAUAUCUCCAGACACAUCCAAAUUGGUGCAGCUAGUGUUAGGCCCACAGAAGAAGGUUUUAAGCUGCUGCUUCACAAUGAGGUAAAACCUCCCAACAUGCUGAAAAUUGGGGUAUAAGUUUAAAUAAAAUAAAAUCAUGAUGUGUAACCAUUGAUUGCUUUAUCCAGCAUGAGUUUAUCUAAACCCCCUUUAAGGUCAUCUAAAUUGGCAGCUGUCAUUGCAUGUUGUGGCAGCAAAUUCCAUGAGAUGACUAUGUGCUGUGUGAAGAAUGCUUCCUUUCGACUGUCUUGAAUUGAGAUAUUUGCUCAUCCUAGUCCCACAACAGAUGAAUGGCAAUACCACCACUUCUUGUGUUCCUCAACAAGUUCUUGUUGAGAACUAUCCAUUUAGUCCUACUCUCUUUUCCCAGUUCCCAGGUUCCAGUAUAUAAGAGGAUCCAUAACUGCUAAGUUUUACUCAAGGGCCUUUGGCAAAGGAUUUUAUCAGAAACAUAUUGGAAGUCCAAAUAUACAGCAUCUACCACAUCACCCCCAGUCACCUGGAAUAUGCUUUUCAAACUGUUGAGUUCCAUACAAUGAGUAGCAUACUAUUGCUCUUACCUGUGAUCAUGUCCAAAGUACUUGCAACUCCAUUGCCUCCUUCUCUCUAAAAAGAAGAGCCUGAAACUUGGACUUUUAUCAGCAACGUCCACCAGUCCAGGAGUCUCUGCAGAUUUAUUAUCUGUUCUAUUUAUUACAUUUAUAUAGCACCUCUAUAUUCCAAGGAGCUCAAGGUGGUGUACAUGGUCAAAAUAAUGACUGCUUGUGUUAGCUGGCAACUUUGCUACAAAUGCCUAUCUAUAGUUCCUGGAGGGCCUCACCAGCGGUCUGGGGCCAGAAGAGACUGCCAGACACCAACAAAGGGACUUACACAGAGCCGAACAACUUGCAUCUCACCAAGAUGAACUUGCAUCUCACCACCAGAUAUGAAUGGUGGCCCAUGAAGGGCUUGAGGAACAAUGCUUUUUUUCCCAGGCCAACGCAUGCAUCAGAAACAGAAGAUUAGAUCAGGACUCUGGUAGGCUGCCACACAUGGCUAUCAGAUUGAGUUUGGCUUGGUGGAGCAGAAAGUGUGCAGGCCCGGGUUAUGGCAGGCUCCCAAAUUACACUUAUCGCUCCUCGCCAAUUGUUAUUCUUGCCCACCCCUAAAGCUCGCAUCCUGCUGCUGGAAAUUUGUUUGGAUGCAGGAGAUGCUGCGGCAGCAUCAAGGGCAUUGCAAGGAACAAUUCUGGGAGUCGAAUGCCCCUCCCUGCCAAACCGAAAAAUGCACCCACAUCCCGGUGCAGCUGGAAAAAUGGAGGGGGCCUGUCUUCCAUCCUCUCAUGGUAUCAGACUGUGCUAGUUACCAGAUGAGAAACUGGCAUCUUCCAUGAGAUUCAGAUAGCCCACCACUUUGUUCCUGGGGAUUGAAGGCUCCUGGUGUUAAUUAGCUCCUGUAAUAUGAUGGAUGACAGCAGGAAAGCCAGAAGUGACACAGGCAAAUUGCAUUCCAGAAUGAGCCUUCCCUCCUCAUCAAGGGCACUGGAAAGGGAUCUGGAGAAAGACAGGAGCUGAGCUGCAACACCACCACCUGGACACAGUGUAUAUAAAUACAAUGAGGCUGUGGGAAUCGGGAACAAGGAAGUCCACCCUCAAUGCUAACAAGAGAAAACAAAGAACAUUUGACCUGCCACAGGGGAGCAACACACACAGGUUUCUUGGGCUGAUCCCUGUUGCCAUGAAUAAAUUGAAUCCUUGAGAAAAGGAUAAGAUUGCCCUGCCCUGAUUUGGUGGUCGAGCCCCUGCUGCCCAUGGGAAGCAAAGGAAGACACAACUAGACACAACAACAUACUAAGGAGGAGAAGGCGGCAGCUCAAAUCAAGGUCAUAAGGGGAUGCAGCCCUAUCUCCUGGGUGAGAAGCAUCCUUUUCUCUCCAAGACGGAGGCCAAAGGAGAAGAGAUGAAAACUGGGGCAAGGAGGCAGUUGGGUGGGAAAGAGGAAACCAGCCAUGUAUCUCCCAUGAUGAAGUUAGGGAUGGGAGAUGAGACAGGCGAGGGAAACUGGAAGGGAUGGCCUGGGUACUGCAGCACCAGACCACAGAGGUAUAAAAUAUUAAUAUAAAGUUAAAAUUUGGGGGGUAUAUCCCUAGUGUAUGAACAUCCAUGCAUCACCUUAGUUCAUUGUACCAACUGCCAGUGCAUAGUCAUCCCAUUCUCCUGCAGUCUUCUCUCUCUCCAAGCACACAUUGUCCUAGGACCAGCUCAUCCACUAGACAAACACAGUAUUGGCACUGCAUGCAAGCCCUGCAAGGGGAACUGUAGACACCGACUAUGUUCUGCAAUUAACUGUCCCAGAAAAAGGAUGCUUCCAGAAGACCUAUUUAUUGAGUAUUCAUCCAGAUUUGCUUGAGGGGAGACUAGAUGAUGUUGCAUCAAAGAAGGUGUUCUCUCGCACUUCCCUGUGCAUUUCCUGUCACUUUCCUUAUUGCAAAAACACUGAUCUUGGAGAAGCAGGUCUGUUGCACAAGACCUCCCAAAACACAAUAAUGGUGAGACCUGAAUUUUCUGGUAUGUGACUGAAUCCCACCUGAAAGCAGUGUAGUUUGGAAACACCCAAAGGUAGAGCAGCAAGAUGAAGAGAUUAGGGCAGAGGGGACAGAAAUCUACAGUGGGGAUUGCAAAGAGACAGGAAUCAAGACCAAGAGAAGAAGAUGCAUCUAACCUGAUUUAUGGAUCCUAAUAAUGUCUAAGACCAACUCCAUUCUCCACUUACAAAAUAACAAUUACAGAGUUCUGUUUAUCCACCCUAAACUCGCUGUAUUAAAAUGCAAUCUUCACAAAUUCAGAGUAAUCACCUGGUACAGCUCUGUUGGAACUAUUACUUUAAACAGGGAGUUGCACAUCUGAAUAUUCCCCCAUUUAAACAACAACCCUGCAUAUAGAAAAUCAGCUCAGUGGCAGAUGACAGGCCAGGAUGGUUCUCUCCAAUAUGCUUGUUUUCUUUAAAUGGCAACAUUUAACUAUGCAAUCCCCUGUUCACAGUCUAAAGUGGAGAGUCCCAGCAAGACUGUAUUAUGUGAUUACUCUGAACACGGAAAUCAGCUCUCAGGACUCAGCCAGUCCACAGAAAUUGUGUUGUGGUUGAUUUUCAAAAUGCAAGUGAUUUUUAAAAUGGAAAGUGGAAUAAGGGGCACUUUGAACUUGGAACCAGGGGGAGGAAAAAGGAGCCACUGAAAAGGAGUGCUCACUUGUCUCCCAAACACAUUCAGUACACUGACAACACUCCUUCCAGAUCAAGGCUUAGUUGCAAAAGCCUUUUGCACGUCAAACUUAUUGCAUGUCAAUAACUAUAUUGUUAUUGCCGAGACCUUAGCAUGAACAAUCUUUGAGUUACUUUUUAUAAGUCCCUCAACCUUCUGAAUCAGGGAUGAUCAGAGAGGUAAUUCCAGUAACUUCUUUUUGCUGGUUAAAAAUGACUAAGCACAUAAAGGUGCCUUGAGUAAGCAUAUGGGUUUGAAUUGUUCUUUUUAAUGGAAAAAGAGCUAACUCACCCUAAGACAGUUUUUGACCUUGGCUGUUUGGGGUUGUUGCUUUCUACGCCCUAAUACAGCAUCUCCUGCAUCUGCCAACUUCCAAACUUCCACCUAAAGUGCAGUAGACUAUGCAAAGCUGCUUGCCAGGAGGACAGGGAUG
rnacentral:lncRNA from 1 species